UAGCACAGGAAACUCAGUACAGGAGCUGAUCCAGGAUGUCUGAUGCUUGAAUCUAUAAAUCCCACUGAAGUCGAACUUCCAGUGACUCCAGAAAAGGACUACAGGAUGACCACCCUUUCCUGUCCAGCUAAACACCUUAGGAAAUGCUUGCAGAAUACACGAACAACAGCGCCCUCUGCACCUGAAACCCCUCCGGUUAUUAAACCCAGACGUUCCUACGUGCUGGAGGAGCCUUUAAUUUCAAUUACUGCUUUUUUCAGCUGCUGGUAGCAGUGGGGUCUAAGAAGUGUACAGCACUGGGCGCCAUUCCCACUUUCAACUUGCAAGAACACAGUUUGAGGGGAAGCACUGCCAUGUCUCCAGUGAAGGCUGUGUCUUCAAGGUCUGGAUGAGCCCCACGUGCUUGGAGUUCCAUCCUGAUGCAUGGCAUGAAAGCUGCAGGGUCAAAGACUUUUAACCAAACAUCAAUUGCUUCUAACACUGUUACAGUGCUCCACGUGUAUAGCACAGAGAACAGAAUCACCACUAUUUUUACUUUCACACAUUAAAAAGUCUCAGCAUUACAAAUUUUUCUUACUAUGUUUUACACAAUCAACGCAAAUUAUAUCCUGCUUCACACCACCUUGUGCUCUGCCUCUCCUUAAUGAAUACACUGUUAAAGUUCAUUCCACUACUUGCUGGUCCAUCUUUGGCCAACACGGACCUAAGAUUUUUUAAAAAUAAGUUUUCUCGCUAUUGUGAAGUAGAAUAGCAGAAGACUUCCAUGAAAUGAUUUCUUUCUAUCUGAAAUCAGUGAUAGAGCUCCCAGGUGUAGUUAGUUAAGAUCUAUUUUUGAUAUCCUCUUCUGGUAAUAUAAGCGACAUGUUUUUUCAUCAGCAGAUUCUUUUUUUUUCAUGUGGAUGGUUUUAUAUGUUAUAUCUGAAAGGAAUAAAAGGAAAGACAAUAUCAUCUAGAAAAAGUGUGACUAUGUGGGUACAGAAAAUGUUUGAAUUUUUUCAAUCUUGAUAAUAAACCUGGAAUAUAUUUAUUGAUGCAUCCCAGAUAAGCAAUUUCUAUUGUGAUGUGUUCUCUCAGAGAACUGUACUAUGGAAAAUUGAGAAUAAUGGGUCGUGUCAUGUCUUCAGUCCAUGUGCAGAACUCACACUGAUGUCAAUAGGAGCUCCCUUCACAAAACAAGGCCUAUAUAUGACCCAUAGAGUCACUAGUAGAAGUUUCCCAUACAUAACUACAAAAUUAAUGGAGCAUUGUAAUCCAUUUUGCGAUCUAAUGAAAUACAUCAUGAUUUAAAUUGCAAUUAAACAGAGAGAUGUCAAUAGGCAUUGAUGAGUUUCCACAUGAAGACCGCAACAUUCCUGCUACAAACCUACAGCUUUUGCAGGGUAAUGGCUCAUAGAUUCUAAAAACACCUUUACUCAGAGCAUUAUUGAUUAAGCAUCUCAGGAGCCUUAAACAUGUGAAUUAUAUCUUUAGUUGUAAGACAAAAUUUGUAUAUCUAAGACUUGAUCUGUUCUGGAAAGAUCACAGAAUCUCAUGUGAUGGAAUUCAGCAUUUCUUAAUUGCCUUACAUUUAAAAAUUGAAAAUCAUAACAUUAAGUUAUGCUUUUGUAGCAGGGGGAGGUUGGAAGGUUGUAGAGCUCAUGUGAUUCACAAAGAUGUUGUUUAAAGUUCAUAUACUUGAUGGCCUUUCAUCUGUCCAUGACUUUUUAAAUUAUUUAAUGUGAUAAAAUAUUCUGUGUUUGUGUUUGUAUGAGAAAUGUCAUGAAAUAAUUAGGGUGUGUGUAUUUCACAGCAUAGAGAGACCAAGUUUCAUUACAACAGUGUUUAAACUCUACACCAGAACUUUUGAAUCCCACAGUAAUAUUAAUCUUCUAGUGCUCUGAAAUAUUUCAUUCCCUGCUUCCUACCCUCAUAAAAAUACACACAGAGCUGUGGCUUAUCUUUGAAAUUACCCAUUGACAUAAAAUAUGAGGACUAUUAUUUUCAACUGUGUUUCAAGGAAGUGUUUCUCAGUAUGCUUACUAGGCAGAGCAGUUCUGGUCUUUAGGCAGGAGCUCCUGUGAUCCUUCCCAGAAAUUGACCUCCCUGCUUGCCCUUGCCCCACAGACUGGUGCGUUCUGACAACACCUGGCUGCUGGGAACUGGCUUUCUUAUUUCUUCAAGCAAUAGUUCAUCUCCUGUUUUGCAUAAUUAUGCAAAAUAGCGAGGAUGCCAUUAUCUGUUGUAAUGUAGUUAUCUCUCACUUGAAUGGGACAAGUCCUGGUCAGAAUGCUGGAGACUCAAGGCUUCAGCAAAUCCACAGUGUCCUGAAAUUUUCCAGUGAAGAAAGAGCAGAGUUUGCUGGACUCCAAAUGAACUAAAUGAGGAAUCCAUUCCCCUAAGACUAUCUGCAAACUCUGUCAGAACCCAAAAUUUUUUUCAGAGUUUUUUUUGGUGUAAUUAUAUGGACUUGACAUUAUAUAUGCUCUUUCUAGAAAUUAAGUAGAAUGUGUUAGAAUGAUACGACUAAAAGUUGAAGUAUGAAACACGUUUCUUAUUACAGAACCACAAUAGUUAUUAAAAAAACUGAAACAACGCAUAGAAAAGCCCAAGAGAAUUUACAAUAGAAUUUUUGAGGAAUUUUGAGAUUGACCAAAUAAUUUUGCAUUGGAGAUUUUUUGACAUCUGCUGGUUGUUUUGUUUUAUUUGUUUUUUUGGUUAGGUUUUUUCCUGUGGCUUCUCUAGCAGUUAUCUUGCCAGAAGGUUUAUUGGUGAGAAGGCUGGGCAGCUAUUUUGCGAUGUUCUCACAAAGCAGUAGGUCUCAUUUAUUCCAUGACAACACCUCCAUUUAAUAUCCCACCUUAGCAGGGAGAUGAAUACUUUGCAACAGAGUCACUCUGGGUUGAAGUUUAUCUCUAGACAACAUAUAAACUCUCCCUGGAAACUGUUUAAACCAGGAGUACAUCUAAGAGCUGUUUUUUCUUAUUGUUUCCUGACUUUCUGGACACUAACCAAGACCAGCAAAUUCUUAAAUCCUAUGAAUUAUUUCAGCCAUCUGUAAGUUAUAAAAGAACUCUGUUCAAAUACCUGAGCUGAUUUCUGUUCUAUUGCAGGUUGCUCCACUGUUGAGCCUGCUUUGGUCUGAAAAAGGCUUUGGGUUUUUUUUUUCCUUCUUCCUUUGUCUGCUUUUUCAGCUUACACCUUUUCUAUGAGAAUGGUAUGAGAUGACAAGAAAAGGUCUCUGAGCUCACCAUUCUCUACUUCCCCCACACUGCAUUUGGAAGGUAAUAUAUAAAACUUCACCAGCAUAGCCUGGACACUGCUGUCCCAGUAAGGGCUACAGGGAGAAAGAACCAGGAUCUCAGGUUUCCUGCUUAUAUUUUCUUUUUUUAACCCUUUCCCCUUGCUGCCCUGACACACAGGUGAUCUUUCGUCUUACCUUUUUCCUUUGAUCAAGAUGUAGUCUGCAUAAUAGAACAAAAUUUUGUUCUAGUGAACUGUGAAGCUCAACUUUGGAAGAUCUACUGAUUUCUAUUAAAUAAAGCAAUAUUUCUUCCUCCCCACAAUCAGUGGAUUUUUUUUCCCAUAGUCAGGCUUGCUAAGAACAUUUUAAAUAAUGUUUUUCUGGACUGAAACUCUCAGUUCUCAGACUCUUCUCCUUUUUAGUCCUGUGAACAUAGUGCUAUACUGUAUGUCAAUUUGGUCUUGUUUGUGGGUUCAUUUUCCCCUCCAUUAGAACAGCAUUUCUCUCUCUUUUUUUUUUCCUUCUUGUGAUAUUGUUCAAAGGCUUCUUGUGAUGCCUUGAAAAAAGUUAUUGAUUGUUAGAUCAUUUCUCUCAUUCAUUCAGAUGUUUUCUGGUCCCCAGAUGGAAACAUCACAGCUGCUGCUCUGGAAUUCACUAUCGACUUUUGUCUCUGGAUUAUCAGAGCCCCCAGCAAAAAGGCCUGAAUCCAGGCACCCUUUUUCCCUCUGUUGAGACUUAAAGCUGUUAUCCUUCCAGCUCAAAGGAAGUCCCAGCGCCUGUAUAUGGCCAGAGUCUGGAGCAGUAAGGUCCUAUGAUUACUUUCUUUGAGCUAUUUUUCUAGUGCUCCUUUUUUUUUUAGUUUCUAUAUAAUUUUUCAGCUCUUCAGUAGGAGCACCAGAUCUCGGAGACCAGUCUGAUUUCCUGCCUCCCUCUGCUGUUGUUAUUUCUGUGCUGGUUAUUUGUUACAUGUUUGAGGGCCAGAAUCAGCCUGACAAAUUAGAAUUUUUCAAAAUUCAGCCUUUUCUGACCAGCAGCCGUCUGCUCAGACAAAGAAGAAAGUGGGAAGGAUUGCCAUAUUUUAAAUGUUUUUCACCCAAUCCCUCAAGCAAAGCCUCUUUUUUAAAUUCAAAGAGUUGUUAUGAUUCAAAGAAAAUGCUUAUUCUACACACUGUUUCCUUUCCAUUAAAGUUUAUUUAUACCGCCCUCCUUGUCUGAGGGUAUAAUUAUGAAUGAUCUAAGCUUGUACUGAAAAUCCUAAAUUAAAAAAUACAUCUGUUGCAAGGAUCCUCUCACCAGAAACCUUGAAAAUGUUAUCCUGUCUGUGCAUCCAUAUAUCUGUCUGUCUCUCUGUAGGUUAUGGCUAUCCUUUAUAUGUUCCAGAAGUAAGUGGGAUUAGAUAACUUGCUUCGUACUUUAACUGCUGUACACAUUCAUGAAAGAAAUAAAACCGCGUGGAAAACUGAA